GAUGAACGCUAGCGGGAGGCUUAACACAUGCAAGUCGAGGGGCAGCAUAGGGUAGCAAUACUCUGAUGGCGACCGGCGAAACGGGUGAGUAACGCGUAUGCAACCUACCCUGUACAGGGGGAUAACCCGGAGAAAUUCGGACUAAUAUCCCGUAAUAAUAUCCGGAGGCAUCUUUGGAUAUUUAAAGUUCCGACGGUACGGGAUGGGCAUGCGUAACAUUAACUGGUUGGUAAGGUAACGGCUUACCAAGGCUAUGAUGUUUAGGGGUCCUGAGAGGGUGGUCCCCCACACUGGUACUGAGACACGGACCAGACUCCUACGGGAGGCAGCAGUGAGGAAUAUUGGUCAAUGGGCGCAAGCCUGAACCAGCCAUCCCGCGUGCAGGAAGACGGCCCUAUGGGUUGUAAACUGCUUUUCCAGGGAGAGAAACUUACGCACGUGUUGCGUGACUGACGGUACCCUGGGAAUAAGCAUCGGCUAACUCCGUG
rnacentral:rRNA from 1 species